UAUGAGAGGACAUGGAGGCCCUGGCAGACCCAGCAAGGGAAACAAAUUAAUGCCACAGGCCCCUCGGGGAUGGACAGGUCUGGCUCCAGGACAGAGGGGAGACCUGGCCUGGGUGUCCACCUAGUAACUCUUGAGGUGCCCUGCUCCGGGGCUCGCCCAUGUCCCCUGACCUCAGAUCUGUCUCCUUGACCGUGAGAUGGCUCAGGACGGAUUUGAGGAAGAGCUCGGAGGGGACUUGGUCUCUGUGGGCAGCUUUCUCCCCAAAGGAGCCAGUUCUCCUCCGGCCACCUGAACUCCUGCUCAUCUGCUCCACGUUCCAGCUGCUUCUCUUUGAUGGAGCUUCCAGCACACAGAGGAGGAGAAAGGGCAGCUAGAGGAUGCUCAGCACAGGCACAGAGAGAAGUGCCAGCCUCCUGUGCUGCCUCACCGGCUGGACUCGAAACAGCCACAAGCUCAAGAGGGACCCAGCAAAACAGAAAAGACAAAUUUUACAUCUUGGCCAGGCCUGUGCCUCUAGAAGCCUCCUUAUGCACAAGUGUCCGCUAAAUAGAAAGGACCUAUUGACAUAACUUGCAGGGUCAGUGUGGAAACAGAAAUCUGCAAAAAUAUCUGUAAAAUCAUAAAGAAAAAUUACCCUAAAGAAAGAUGAUUAGUAUUCCUAUGUUGAAAAUUUCCUUUGAGAAGGAAUCAAUCUCUGUUCUUCCUCUAUUUCUUUUUCUUAAAGCUCUAUUUGCAUAGAACUGAGGCACAAUAAAUUGCACACAUUUAAAGUGUAAAUUUGAUGAGAUGUGACAUCUGUAUACACUUGCGAAACUUUCAUCACAAUCAAAAUUAUGAAUGUAUCCAUCCCUGCUAAAAGUUUCCUUGUACUCCUUGAAAUUUAUUCUUCCUACCCAUCAGCCACUGAUGUUUUGUUUUCUGUAAUUAUAGUUGGUGUUUUCUAAAAAAUGGAAUUAUAUGCUAUAUACCCUUAUUUUGGGGAUCUGGCUUCUUUCACUUAAUAAAAUUAUUUUGAAAUUCA